CGUGCACGCGGCUCGGUGGAGGGACUGUUGGAGAAGGGGGCGGAGCGAGCUGGGUGGUGAGCGGCACUCUGGGACUCGGAGGACCGAGCGGCUAACCGCCGGAGGCGGGAGUCGGCGUGGGAUGAGAUCACUCAUUCUGGGGAAGAAAGCUCCCAUGUCAUGAAGACAAUCAUGCAGCUUUACAGAGAGAUCCACAUAGUGAGGAGCUGAGGUGUCCUGCAACUUGCAAGCCAUAUGCGAGAAAAGGAUGAUUCCCUAGAGAGGGCUAUGAACAAGAAUACAGAGCUGUGAACAGGAGUACUUGGGAACAGAUAUUGAGGCUCUCCAUGUACAGGAAAGGGAUCUGCAAAGGGAUCAAAGCUU